CCUACGGGGGUCAGCAGUGGGGGAUAUUGCACAAUGGGGGGAACCCUGAUGCAGCGACGCCGCGUGGGUGAAGAAGCGCCUCGGCGCGUAAAGCCCUGUCAGCAGGGGAGAAAAUGACGGUACCUGAAGAAGAAGCCCCGGCCAACUACGUGCCAGCAGACGCGGUAAUACGGAGGGGGCAAGCGUUAUCCGGAUUUACUGGGUGUUAAGGGGGCGCAGACGGGGAUGCAAGCCCGGAGUGAAAGCCCGGGGCGCAACCCCGGGACUGCUCUUGGAACUGGGUGGCUGGAGUGCAGGAGGGGCAGGCGGAAUUCCUGGUGUAGCGGUGAAAUGCGUAGAUAUCAGGAGGAACACCGGUUGCGAAGGCGGCCUGCUGGACUGCAACUGACGUUGAGGCCCGAAAGCGUGGGGAGCAAACAGGAUUAGAUACCCGAGUAGUC
rnacentral:rRNA from 1 species